rnacentral:rRNA from 1 species
GACGAACUGUCCAAACGUUGUUCGGAAUCACUGGGCUUAAAGGGCGCGUAGGCGGUCGAUCAAGUCAGGGGUGAAAUCCUGCAGCUUAACUGUAGAAGUGCCUUUGAUACUGGUCGUCUGGAGGGAGGUAGGGGUGUGUGGAACUUCCAGUGGAGCGGUGAAAUGCGUUGAUAUUGGAAGGAACGCCGGAGGCGAAAGCGACGCACUGGACCUCUUCUGACGCUGAGGCGCGAAAGCUAGGGGAGCAAACGGG